GCUGUUAGCUCAGUUGGUAGAGCAGCGGACUUUUAAUCCGCGGGAACAGGUUCCCACACAAUCUUUUCUCAAUCCUUUUGCAGCA
rnacentral:tRNA from 2 species